rnacentral:tRNA from 1 species
GCCGAUGUGGUGAAACUGGCAAACACUAUGCACUCAAAAUGCAUCGCCCUUGCGGGCUUGUGGGUUCGACUCCCACCAUCGGCACAA